UUUUGGUGAGGUGGAGUAUAGAUGCCUAAGGGUACAUGGUGGUUUGCACCGAGGGAUGUAGAGUGUGACAUUUGGAUCACGAGUGGAGAUGUGAUCAAAUGUCUAGGAUCCUUUAUCUGGAAAGAGACCCUGAUCAGGUGGAGUGUGAGAGAGACACUUCUAUCACUUCUGUUAGGUGGAGACCCAUUAUCCACGUAGGUUGGGAGAAGUGAUGUGGAGAUA
rnacentral:lncRNA from 1 species